rnacentral:rRNA from 1 species
UACGUAGGGUGCAAGCGUUGUCCGGAAUUAUUGGGCGUAAAGAGCUUGUAGGCGGUUUGUCGCGUCUGCCGUGAAAUUUCGAGGCUCAACCUCGAACUUGCGGUGGGUACGGGCAGACUAGAGUGUGGUAGGGGAGACUGGAAUUCCUGGUGUAGCGGUGAAAUGCGCAGAUAUCAGGAGGAACACCGAUGGCGAAGGCAGGUCUCUGGGCCAGCUACUGACGCUGAGAAGCGAAAGCGUGGGGAGCGAACAGGA